rnacentral:rRNA from 1 species
GACGAACGCUGGCGGUGUGCUUAACACAUGCAAGUCGAACGGAAAGGCCCUGCUUUUGUGGGGUGCUCGAGUGGCGAACGGGUGAGUAACACGUGAGUAACCUGCCCUUGACUUUGGGAUAACUUCAGGAAACUGGGGCUAAUACCGGAUAGGAGCUCCUGCUGCAUGGUGGGGGUUGGAAAGUUUCGGCGUUUGGGGAUGGACUCGCGGCUUAUCAGCUUGUUGGUGGGGUAGUGGCUUACCAAGGCUUUGACGGGUAGCCGGCCUGAGAGGGUGACCGGCCACAUUGGGACUGAGAUACGGCCCAGACUCCUACGGGAGGCAGCAGUGGGGAAUAUUGCACAAUGGGCGGAAGCCUGAUGCAGCAACGCCGCGUGCGGGAUGACGGCCUUCGGGUUGUAAACCGCUUUCGCCUGUGACGAAGCGUGAGUGACGGUAAUGGGUAAAGAAGCACCGGCUAACUACGUG